CCUACGGGGUGCAGCAGUGGGGAAUAUUGGACAAUGGGCGAAAGCCUGAUCCAGCCAUGCCGCGUGUGUGAAGAAGGCCUUCGGGUUGUAAAGCACUUUCAGUGGGGAAGAAAGCCUUGGGGCUAAUACCCUCGAGGAAGGACAUCACCCACAGAAGAAGCACCGGCUAACUCCGUGCCAGCAGCCGCGGUAAUACGGAGGGUGCGAGCGUUAAUCGGAAUUACUGGGCGUAAAGCGCGCGUAGGCGGUCUGAUAAGCCGGUUGUGAAAGCCCCGGGCUCAACCUGGGAACGGCAUCCGGAAGUGUCAGGUGAAGGAAGAGGAGAGGAAGGGAGUAGCACCGGUGGACAGCGGAUGCACGUAAGGCACGGGAGAUGUGCCAGUGGAGAAGGAGACCUCAUGGACGUACAAGGGAGCUGAGGUGUAAUUUCUUAAAUCGGAAACAGGCGGAAGGAGACGAUAAGAG
rnacentral:rRNA from 1 species